GACGAACGCUGGCGGCGUGCUUAAAACAUGCAAGUCGAACGGACUUCUCAUGAAGCUUGCGAUUGAGAAGUUAGUGGCGGACGGGUGAGUAACGCGUGGGCAACCUGCCCCUGAGCCCGGGAUAACAGUUCGAAAGGACUGCUAAGACCGGAUAUACUUGCGGUGAAGCAUUUCACUGCAAGGAAAGGGAACGCUCAGGGAUGGGCCCGCGUCCCAUUAGCUAGUUGGUGAGGUAACGGCCCACCAAGGCGACGAUGGGUAGCCGGCCUGAGAGGGUGAACGGCCACACUGGGACUGAGACACGGCCCAGACUCCUACGGGAGGCAGCAGUUGGGAAUCUUCGGCAAUGGGCGCAAGCCUGACCGAGCAACGCCGCGUGAGUGAUGAAGGUUUUCGGAUUGUAAAGCUCUGUCUUCCGGGACGAUAAUGACGGUACCGGAGGAGGAAGCCACGGCUAACUACGUGCCAGCAGCCGCGGUAAACUCGAACGAGUAACGUACGAGGACGGCGGU
rnacentral:rRNA from 1 species